AUUGAACGCUGGCGGCAGGCUUAACACAUGCAAGUCGAGCGGGGUGAUGGUGCUUGCACUAUCACUUAGCGGCGGACGGGUGAGUAAUGCUUAGGAAUCUGCCUAUUAGUGGGGGACAACCUCUCGAAAGGGAUGCUAAUACCGCAUACGUCCUACGGGAGAAAGCAGGGGAUCACUUGUGACCUUGCGCUAAUAGAUGAGCCUAAGUCGGAUUAGCUUGUUGGUGGGGUAAAGGCCUACCAAGGCGACGAUCUGUAGCGGGUCUGAGAGGAUGAGCUGCCACACUGGGACUGAGACACGGCCCAGACGCCUACGGGAGGGAGCAGUGGGGAAUAUUGGACAAUGGGGGGAACCCUGAUCCAGCCAUUCCGCGUGUGUGAAGAAGGCCUUAUGGUUGUAAAGCACUUUAAGCGAGGAGGAGGCUCUUUUGGUUAAUACCCAAGAUGAGUGGACGUUACUCGCAGAAUAAGCACCGGCUAACUCUGUGCCAGCCGCCGCCGUAA
rnacentral:rRNA from 1 species